CGGCCGCGUCGACCUGGCGGCGUGCCUAAUACGUGCAAGUCGAACGGAAAGGCCCCCUUGUGGGGUACUCGAGUGGCGAACGGGUGAGUAACACGUGAGUAACCUACCCUUGACUUUGGGAUAACUUCAGGAAACUGGGGCUAAUACCGGAUAGGAGCUCCUGCUGCAUGGUGGGGGUUGGAAAGUUUCGGCGGUUGGGGAUGGACUCGCGGCUUAUCAGCUUGUUGGUGGGGUAGUGGCUCACCAAGGCUUUGACGGGUAGCCGGCCUGAGAGGGUGACCGGCCACAUUGGGACUGAGAUACGGCCCAGACUCCUACGGGAGGCAGCAGUGGGGAAUAUUGCACAAUGGGCGGAAGCCUGAUGCAGCAACGCCGCGUGCGGGAUGACGGCCU
rnacentral:rRNA from 1 species